rnacentral:rRNA from 1 species
AUCAUGGCUCAGAUUGAACGCUGGCGGCAGGCCUAACACAUGCAAGUCGAGCGGUAGCACAAGAGAGCUUGCUCUCUGGGUGACGAGCGGCGGACGGGUGAGUAAUGUCUGGGAAACUGCCUGAUGGCGGGGGAUAACUAGUGGAAACGGUAGCUAAUACCGCAUAACGUCGCAAGACCAAAGUGGGGGCCCUUCGGGCCUCACGCCAUCAGAUGUGCCCAGGUGGGAUUAGCUGGUAGGUGAGGUAACGGCUCACCUAGGCGACGAUCCCUAGCUGGUCUGAGAGGAUGACCAGCCACACUGGAACUGAGACACGGUCCAGACUCCUACGGGAGGCAGCAGUGGGGAAUAUUGCACAAUGGGCGCAAGCCUGAUGCAGCCAUGCCGCGUGUGUGAA